rnacentral:rRNA from 1 species
AGUGAACGCUGGCGGUAGGCCUAACACAUGCAAGUCGAACGGCAGCACAGAGGAGCUUGCUCCUUGGGUGGCGAGUGGCGGACGGGUGAGGAAUACAUCGGAAUCUACUCUGUCGUGGGGGAGAACGUAGGGAAACUUACGCUAAUACCGCAUACGACCUACGGGUGAAAGCAGGGGACCUUCGGGCCUUGCGCGAUUGAAUGAGCCGAUGUCGGAUUAGCUAGUUGGCGGGGUAAAGGUCCACCAAGGCGACGAUCCGUAGCUGGUCUGAGAGGAUGAUCAGCCACACUGGAACUGAGACACGGUCCAGACUCCUACGGGAGGCAGCAGUGGGGAAUAUUGGACAAUGGGCGCAAGCCUGAUCCAGCCAUACCGCGUGGGUGAAGAAGGCCUUCGGGUUGUAAAGCCCUUUUGUUGGGAAAGAAAUCCAGCUGGCUAAUACCCGGUUGGGAUGACGGUACCCAAAGAAUAAGCACCGGCUAACUUCGUGCCAGCCGCCGCAGUAA